UAAAGCGAUUCAGCGGGUUACGAUUGACGGAGCGAAGCGACGUCAAAGCGUAUACAAAGUCGAGUCGGUUUAAGGAUACGUUCGUUGGGUAGGGGAGCGUUCUGUAAGCCCGUGAAGGUGGCCUGUGAGGGUUGCUGGAGGUAUCAGAAGUGCGAAUGCUGACAUAAGUAACGAUAAAGCGGGUGAAAAGCCCGCUCGCCGGAAGACCAAGGGUUCCUGUCCAACGUUAAUCGGGGCAGGGUGAGUCGACCCCUAAGGCGAGGCCGAAAGGCGUAGUCGAUGGGAAACGGGUUAAUAUUCCCGUACUUGGUGUUACUGCGAAGGGGGGACGGAGAAGGCUAUGUUGGCCGGGCGACGGUUGUCCCGGUUUAAGCGUGUAGGUGUGUGUUCCAGGUAAAUCCGGUUCACUUUAACACUGAGGCGUGACGACGAGGCACUACGGUGCUGAAGCAACAAAUGCCCUGCUUCCAGGAAAAGCCUCUAAGCAUCAGGUAACACGAAAUCGUACCCCAAACCGACACAGGUGGUCAGGUAGAGAAUACCAAGGCGCUUGAGAGAACUCGGGUGAAGGAACUAGGCAAAAUGGUGCCGUAACUUCGGGAGAAGGCACGCUGACACGUAGGUGAAGUGAUUUACUCAUGGAGCUGAAGUCAGUCGAAGAUACCAGCUGGCUGCAACUGUUUAUUAAAAACACAGCACUGUGCAAACACGAAAGUGGACGUAUACGGUGUGACGCCUGCCCGGUGCCGGAAGGUUAAUUGAUGGGGUCAGCGCAAGCGAAGCUCCUGAUCGAAGCCCCGGUAAACGGCGGCCGUAACUAUAACGGUCCUAAGGUAGCGAAAUUCCUUGUCGGGUAAGUUCCGACCUGCACGAAUGGCGUAAUGAUGGCCAGGCUGUCUCCACCCGAGACUCAGUGAAAUUGAACUCGCUGUGAAGAUGCAGUGUACCCGCGGCAAGACGGAAAGACCCCGUGAACCUUUACUAUAGCUUGACACUGAACAUUGAGCCUUGAUGUGUAGGAUAGGUGGGAGGCUUUGAAGUGUGGACGCCAGUCUGCAUGGAGCCGACCUUGAAAUACCACCCUUUAAUGUUUGAUGUUCUAACGUGGACCCGUAAUCCGGGUUGCGGACAGUGUCUGGUGGGUAGUUUGACUGGGGCGGUCUCCUCCUAAAGAGUAACGGAGGAGCACGAAGGUUGGCUAAUCCUGGUCGGACAUCAGGAGGUUAGUGCAAUGGCAUAAGCCAGCUUGACUGCGAGCGUGACGGCGCGAGCAGGUGCGAAAGCAGGUCAUAGUGAUCCGGUGGUUCUGAAUGGAAGGGCCAUCGCUCAACGGAUAAAAGGUACUCCGGGGAUAACAGGCUGAUACCGCCCAAGAGUUCAUAUCGACGGCGGUGUUUGGCACCUCGAUGUCGGCUCAUCACAUCCUGGGGCUGAAGUAGGUCCCAAGGGUAUGGCUGUUCGCCAUUUAAAGUGGUACGCGAGCUGGGUUUAGAACGUCGUGAGACAGUUCGGUCCCUAUCUGCCGUGGGCGCUGGAGAACUGAGGGGGGCUGCUCCUAGUACGAGAGGACCGGAGUGGACGCAUCACUGGUGUUCGGGUUGUCAUGCCAAUGGCACUGCCCGGUAGCUAAAUGCGGAAGAGAUAAGUGCUGAAAGCAUCUAAGCACGAAACUUGCCCCGA
rnacentral:rRNA from 1 species